rnacentral:misc_RNA from 1 species
AAGGCAAGCCAGACCACCAGCUUGAGCAAUGUUGGAUGCACCAUUGAAGCUUGUACAAACAAUGCGAUUGAAGUCUUUUGCUACAGGAAAUCCAUCAGAAUAUAGGAGUGCUUUGGGAAUGGCAGUCCACCCUAAACGAACACCAGUGAACCCAGCAUACUUCGAAAAUGAUGAAACCUCAAUGGCAACCUCUUUGGCUCCAGGAAUCUCAAAGAUGGACUUUGGACUGUCAUCACAUAUAUACAUAGCAUAUGCAGAAUCAUAAACAAGGAUCGAGCCAUUAUCUUUAGCAAAUUGCACCAAUUUAGUCAGCUGCUCCCUAGAUGCCGCCGAACCAGUUGGAUUAUUAGGCGAACAGAAAAAUAUAAUGUCUGUCCGAGGAACACUGGAUAGAUCAGGAAAGAACCCAUUUUCUGGAGUACAUCUCAUGUAUGCAAUAUUCCCAUACUUCUCCACAUCCUUCUGAAACUGACCAGUUUGACCCAUAAUAACACUCGAGUCCACAUAAGCCGGGUAUGAU